AAGAGGACAGCUCCUUCUGCAGUGCCUCCUCUGGCCUGACUGAAAGGAGACAGCCUCAGAGCUAUGCCUCCAGACGCAUCAUUCCUCUUGCAACACUGACUGUUUUCACAGCAAGAUGGGCCCUUUAGCUCUCCUCAUGAAAUGUGAGGCUGUGUGCCCUCUCUGCCUUCCUCUGACUACAGAGGACCACUGGAAUGUAUUUAUGGAGUUGGAAGAGUCAGAAUGCGUUUGCCUAUGAAAAUUUUUUUUGGAACUGAAACAAAACAAAACAAAAAAGCCCAACCAACUUUGAACUUGUUUUCACUAGCCCAGCCGAUGUGCCACUAUAAGCCUUCAAGGGCCUUACCCCAGCAAGGCCUCUGCUUUGGUGCUCUCCAUGACGCAAUCUGUCUCUCUGCAGACACAACUCUAAGGUGUCUCCAGAGCCAAAGUCAGGUGAAGAAAUGGGGUUAUUGUGUGGAUUAUUUUAGGUCAGAAUACAGGCCAAAAAAACAAAACUGGUUCUGUUUGAAAUUGCCUGGCUGCCCUCAUUUUGUCACUUGACUUUACAUGGAGAGAUACUGCUCCAGGAAUUACCCAAAUGACAAAAUAAACAAACAAACAAAUAAAACCGUACAUUCUGCACCAAGAAUAAAUAACGCAAAGUGGAGACUGAGCUUAUUAAUUUUUUCAAAGCCUUCCUUACCUGAAUAUGUUAAUGUGAAUUAAUGUGCUGGACUGGCCCAGAGGAAAAUAAAGUCCUUCUGUAGUUUAUCUUCUAUACCUAAAUUGGCAGAUCUAUGGAAUUCAUGUUUGCAUUACAUGUAAAGUUUUUACAGUUCUUACACCUGGAUAAGGAUCUUUUGACUGGAAAGGUCAAUAUAUUUCAAGGGCUUUGGCUCUGAGAAAGAACGGCUUGGUGGAUUCCAGGUACCAAAUCAUCUGUAAAAUCACAUGCCAAAUCCCAAAAGCUUACUGUCUCCAGGACCACAAACCAAUCAAUUUGGGAGGAAAUUGGCUCAAAUAACAUCAACACCCGUAAUGCCAAUGGCCAAACUCUAGAUGGUGAAUGUGAAAUCUUAAGUGGAAUCUGCUCCCAGGCCAAGACAAUACAACCAAAUCAUCUGGAUGCAAGUCAAGCUAUGAGGUGAAUGUGGGUAGUAUAGUCACCACUCAAAUUCGAACCAGAUGGUAUCAGUGUGACUGAUAAUGACAAAGACCCUCUCCUUGACUGAAUUUCAGCUGGGUUCCCCUGUGCCCUCUUCUUGACCAGGCCUCAACCUUGGCCCCUGUCCUGUCUGUUGCUUGCCUAGUCCAGUCUCAGCAAGAAUUCUGCCAAGUAAUUUUAUUGAGAAUUCCCCCACCCUUGAUAUCUGAUCAAGUUCCUGACCACACACUUUUGAUGUAUAAGUUCUUGGCUUGCCUUCAAGAAUCCUCUUCAGUUGGUUUAGCAACUUCCCCUUACCCUGGAUGUCUCCUCCCAGUGAUUUGCCAUCCAUUCACCCCCUCACUCUACUCAUUGGUUAUAAAUCCUUAUUUGUCUUUAUUGUAUUUAGAGUUGAGCCUGAUCGCUCUCCCCUCUUAAAAUAGUCUUGACACAUAUUGCAAUAGUCCUGAAUAAAGUCUUCCUUGCCAUUUUAAGACGUAUUAAAACAUUUUUUUUGACAUGAUAGCUAUGUUUAAUAGGAGCCAAAGGUCAAGGCACUUUGGCGACAACCACUGUCCGCUUAGCAAGGAGCUUAAGUUCAGCAAGGAGCCAAAAUUGACCAUUUUAGUUUUGAGGCUUUACCUUUAAAUAAACUAUUUAUUUUGGAAUGAAUUUAGAUUUAUAGAAAAGUUGCUAUGUGCUCCCUCACCCACUUAUUCCCAUUGUUAACAUCUUACUCAUCAAAACUAAGAAACCAACAUUGGUAGAUGGCUAUUAACUAAAAUCUAGACUUUAUUUGAAUUUCACCAGUUUUUAAAAUUAAUGCCCUCAUUCUGUUCCAGGAUUUCAUCUAGGUACUCCAUUGCAUUCAGUUGGCAUGUUUUCUGAGUCUACUCUGGUAUAUAAUGAUGUCUUAGCCUUUCCUUGUUUUCAUCACCUUGACACUUUUGAGAAUCACUGGUGAGGUACUGGGGAGAAUGUCCCCCAGUCUGGGUUAGUCCGAUGCUUUUCCCAUGAUUAGAUGGGCCAUGAUUUUUUGAAAAGAAUACCAUAGAAGCGAAGUAUUCUUCUUAUCACACAGUCAUGUUUUUGAGAUGACUUUUUGAUGUGGCAACUUUUGCUCAUUAACCUCACAGCAGGAUUCUUCAUACCUCAAAAGUGAAACCCACCUCUCAAGGCUUUACUGAAGAACUUUACUAAAGAUUUCAUACGGGAAGGUGGGGAAAGGAAAAGAGGAGAAAGUUACAUCACAUAUAACAGAGCACAAGUUAAUGAAAAUCCCCUCUAAUAUCCGUUUUUGCCCUUUUACAAAGGAAUGACAGCACCUGUAUCCUCCACUUGCCCAGGAAGUUUCCGGAAUCCACCUGCUCUAGCCCAUCUGUACCCCAGAUCCCCACUUUUUCUUGCUAUGCAUCUGCAUGCCAUCAUCUAGUUCAGCAAAAGACCUUCUGAAGACUAUCUGCGCAGAAGUCACCUGAAGAUAGUAUUAAUAACUAAGAAACAGUUUUUCAGUCUCAAAUAACUUUCUUCCUUUAUACAAAAAAAGGUUAUUAAAAACAUUUUUACUCCACAAUUUAUCAGUGAGAACUGACUUCAGAACAAUGCCCCUCAUCCAUGAUGAACUGGAAGGUUGAAGCAAACUGUCUUGUUCCUGGAAUCUAGGGGGUGGAAUGAGUGAAGAGGAGCUUACUUUGCUCAAGUGUUAAACAUUGGACUUUUCUUAACAGUCAUAUUAACAAAGUAUCACAAAUUUACUAAUUUUAUUUUACUUUAGUUGUUUGAGUCUCAGUCUCUUUCUAGCUCUUGGUCUUUAGGCAAGUCUAUUCCUAAACUUUCAAGAGAAAUAGAAACUAACCUAGAUUUCUUAUAAGGACAGGUAAUUUUUCCAUUUACUCACUUAACAAAAAAUUAUUCAUUGUGUUUAGUUGCUAGUCACUACCUAUUAAUAGAGUUUUUCUUUUAUUUACUUAUGUUUUAAUUCAACAGAUAUUUACUAAGCUCCUACUAAAUGUCUAGGAACAGAUUAGACCCUAGGGAUAGGGUUUCUACUCUCAUAGAACCUAUAGUCUAAGGAGGAGAUAGAUAUUAAACACAUAAUAAUAAAAAUGAAGUGUAUUAAAAGCUGUGAAGAGAAUCAUAAACAAAAGAUCAAGGAAGGAUGCAAUGUGUGUGUGUGUGUGUGUGUGUGUGCUUUGCCAGGUGUGGAAGGAGUUGAUUUACUUUUUAAGAGUAGAGGUCAGCGAAGGCUUAUCUGAGGGAGCAAUAUUUGCAAAUGAUCUGAAGACUUGAGUAAGCAUUAGCUAAACUGGCUAAAAAGAGGAAAAGUACAGACCAAUGCUGAAAGCAGGGCCUGCAGGAAUGUUCUAGGAACUUAACGUGACAGUGUGUCUGAAGUGGGGGGACUAAUGUGACCUCAUCAAUCAUGCAGGCCAGGCUAAAACCAAGUUUAAGAUUGUGAAUGCUGUUCUCCAGGUAGAGCUCACUGGUAAGCGCUCAGGAGGGCAAGAGCUAAGUAUUAAUAGCUCCUUCCCAUAAAAGAAGAGUAUUAUUUGAACUGUGAAUAUAAUGCUAAUUGACUUGUCCCUCUCUUCCUUAGCUAUCCAUCCCUGCUCCUACACAACCAUGCCCAUGUCUUAAGGAGAAUGAGGCAGCAAACUUUCAGUGUCCACUCAAACUCCCUGACACCACGCACCAUUCCCUAGCGAGGGUCAUUUGCAGUUAAAGACUGAUAUUUCUCUCUGCAGAAGGGAAGAGAUACAUUUGUGUAGAUCAGGUACAACAGUCCCAUUAGCACAUUUGCCUUAGUUCAAGGAUAACUAACUACAAUGAUUGCUGCAAAGAUCUUGUCUUUGUCUACACCUGAUUAUCCCAUUUUUAUUUUUAUUUUUUGGCACGUAGAAAGAUUUGUAAAUUUUAUAAUAUGUAAACAUAUUACAAAAUUUGCCAUUUUAACCAUUUUUAAGAGCUUAAUUGGGUGGCAUUAAUUACAUUCACAAUGUCGUUCAACCAUUGCCACUAUCUAUUUCCAAAACUUUUCAAUCAUCCCAAACAGAAACUCUGUACCAUUAAGCAAUCACUCCUAUUUCUUUCCUCUCCCUAGCCCCUGGCAACCACUAAUCUACUUUCUGUUUCUUUGACUUGCCUAUUCUAGAUAUUUCAUAUAAAUGAAAUCCUAUAAUAUGCGACCUUUUAUGUCUGAUUUCAUUCACUCAGCAAAAUGUUUUUAAAGUUCAUCCAUAUUACAGCAUGGAUCAGAACUAUAUUCCCUUUCAUGAUUAAAUAAUAUUUCACUGCAUGUAUAUACCAUAUUUGGUUAUCUAUUUAUCUGCUGAUGUACAUGGGUUAUUUCUAUAUUUUGGCUAUUGAGAAUAAUGCCGUUAAGAACAUUACCUAAAAGUAUCUGUUUGAAUCGUAUGUUGAAUUCUUUUGGGUUUAAUAUACAUUUUUAAGAAAUAACACAUUUUUAAAAAUUGAAGUAAAAUCCAUGUAAGAUAAAAUUUACCAUUUGUAUUAGUCCAUUUUCACACUGCUAUGAAGAAAUAUCUGAGACUGGGUAAUUUAUAAAGGAAAGAGGUUUGAUUGACUCACAGAUCCGCAUUGCUGGGGAAGCCUCAGAAAAC
rnacentral:lncRNA from 1 species